UAUUUGUUAAUUUUCCUGUUUGGGAAUUUUAUAUUUGCCUAAGAAACAAUCUGAAUGUUGGUGUUGCGGAUAUCUUGUUGGGUUCGCAUAAAUGCAUACCAGGUGCUUGUUGAAUUGCCUCACCGACCAAGCGGAGAGUGGAAGCCUCCCAACAUUGAAGUUUUUCAUUACUAUGAGUGCCUUUGUUGGCUUGGCAAAAAAGAAACAACCUGUGAGUUCAACACUCCCAGCCUAAACACCAAAUCCAGAGCAUGUAUGCAUUUUUUUCAAUGAUUUGGCGUCACACCCUUGUAGAUGGAAACCAAAGUGUUCAAUAAAGAAAAUGUUGAUCCCUAACAGGAUAUUGAUGCUUCUUUCAAGGCAAAUAGUUAUGGAAAAGGGAAGGGAUUAUCCUAAUGCAGUAUCCCUCCCCAGGAACAAACUGAGCGAGAUUAUGAAUAUAAAGAGAUAGUUCAAAAGGCUGAUGCAGUUGUUACAACCUUCUAACUACAAUCUUCUGAAGUGGUCAUGACCUUUUUUUUUUUUGUUUUACUUUGCUGGUUAUUCCUAAGAUUGCCUAGCAAAAAGGAAGUAUAUACUUUAUGCAUGUUAUUAUCAAGAUUGUUUUUUAGAUAGUAGAUGUCGUUUGUUCAGAACACGCUAUGAUCAUGAAAAGGACAAUCGAUUUUCUAAUAUUUAGAGGUGUCCAACUCUAUUUUGCAGUAUGGGGUUGCCUUUUUUUUCUUUUUUUUUUUUCCUCCUUUUUUGUUCUUUUCUCUUUAAAUUGUUUCUUUUGCAACCAAAGAAUGCACUUAUGGACAUGAGAAUACUUUUAACAUUUUUCUGGUGAUUGAGAUUGGUGAA